CACACUCAUUCCAAAAAACUCGGGCUCUCGCGACUCGGGUUGUAAGGGGAGAGGGCUCGCCCUAGCUUUCUCUUGCGGACACUUUCCGAGCCCAAACACUCCAACGGGGAAGGGAGGGCAGUGAGGACUUUACAGUAAUUAAAAAAAAUACACUUGCUCAACUCACUCCCUGCUGGCAGAAUCCUCAUGAGUAGUGCAUUUUGUACAAAUUGCUACCCCUAACUUAUAUAUCUUUACUAUCUGUUUAGCAUUUAGAGAAAUUGAUCAAGUUUGGGCCAGUCCCCUUUUGCUGUUCACAGAAAGAAGAUGACAUGGCAGAAAUGAUUGUUUGUACUCUUUGGGGGAGAAGUUUCACAGGGCCAAAUAAAGCAAAGAUGAGAUUCCGAAAGACA